CCUACGGGGGGCAGCAGUGGGGAAUCUUGCACAAUGUGGGAAACCCUGAUGCAGCAACGCCGCGUGAAGGAAGACGGUUUUCGGAUUGUAAACUUCUGUUCUAAGUGAAGAAAUAUAACGGUAGCUAAGGAGCAAGCCACGGCUACCUAUGUGACAGCAGCAGCGGUAAGACGUAGGUGGCAAGAGGUGUACGGAAUUACUGGGGGUAAAGGGAGCUCAGGCUGGAAGCCAAGUCAGCUGUGAAAACUACGGGCUUAACUUGUAGACUGCAGUUGAAACUGGUUUUCUUGAGUGAAGUAGAGGUUGGCGGAAUUCCGAGUGUAGCGGUGAAAUGCGUAGAUAUUCGGAGGAACACCGGUGGCGAAGGCGGCCAACUGGGCUUUAACUGACGCUGAGGCUCGAAAGUGUGGGGAGCAAACAGGAUUAGAUACCCUAGUAGUC
rnacentral:rRNA from 1 species